rnacentral:rRNA from 1 species
GACGAACGCUGGCGGCGUGCCUAAUACAUGCAAGUUGAGCGCUGAAGGUUGGUACUUGUACCAACUGGAUGAGCAGCGAACGGGUGAGUAACGCGUGGGGAAUCUGCCUUUGAGCGGGGGACAACAUUUGGAAACGAAUGCUAAUACCGCAUAAAACUUUAAACACAAGUUUUAAGUUUGAAAGAUGCAAUUGCAUCACUCAAAGAUGAUCCCGCGUUGUAUUAGCUAGUUGGUGAGGUAAAGGCUCACCAAGGCGAUGAUACAUAGCCGACCUGAGAGGGUGAUCGGCCACAUUGGGACUGAGACACGGCCCAAACUCCUACGGGAGGCAGCAGUAGGGAAUCUUCGGCAAUGGACGAAAGUCUGACCGAGCAACGCCGCGUGAGUGAAGAAGGUUUUCGGAUCGUAAAACUCGGUUGGUAGAGAAGAACGUUGGUGAGAGUGGAAAGCUCAUCAAGUGACGGUAACUACCCAGAAAGGGACGGCUAACUACGUG